rnacentral:rRNA from 1 species
UAUUUUGACUAUACAAAGGUAUUGAAAUAAGAUUUUAAUUGAAUGCUAAGAGAAUGGAAUUUCAGAAAAUAGCUUUUUUAAUUUUAAAAAUUGAACUUUUUUUAAUUUGUGCAGAAACAAUUAUUUUAAUUAAGGACAAGAAGACCCUAAGAAUUUUUGAAUUUAAAUAAUAUAUUUAUGUAUUAAUUAAAUUUUAGCUGGGGCGGCUAAGAAAUAUUAAAAACUUUUUAAUUUAAAGCGACCCAUUAUUAAUGAUUAUAUGAAAAAAUA